GACGAACGCUGGCGGCGUGCCUAAUACAUGCAAGUCGAGCGGACCAAAGGGAGCUUGCUCCUGGAGGUCAGCGGCGAACGGGUGAGUAACACGUGGGCAACCUGCCUGUAAGACUGGGAUAACAUCGAGAAAUCGGUGCUAAUACCGGAUAAUAAAAAGAACUGCAUGGUUCUUUUUUGAAAGAUGGUUUCGGCUAUCACUUACAGAUGGGCCCGCGGCGCAUUAGCUAGUUGGUGAGGUAACGGCUCACCAAGGCAACGAUGCGUAGCCGACCUGAGAGGGUGACCGGCCACACUGGGACUGAGACACGGCCCAGACUCCUACGGGAGGCAGCAGUAGGGAAUCUUCCGCAAUGGACGAAAGUCUGACGGAGCAACGCCGCGUGAGUGAUGAAGGUUUUCGGAUCGUAAAACUCUGUUGUUAGGGAAGAACAAGUGCCGUUCGAAAGGGCGGCACCUUGACGGUACCUAACGAGAAAGCCACGGCUAACUACGUGCCAGCAGCCGCGGUAAA
rnacentral:rRNA from 1 species